AGAGUUUGAUCAUGGCUCAGAUUGAACGCUGGCGGCAGGCCUAACACAUGCAAGUCGAACGGUAACAGGAAACAGCUUGCUGUUUCGCUGACGAGUGGCGGACGGGUGAGUAAUGUCUGGGAAACUGCCUGAUGGAGGGGGAUAACUACUGGAAACGGUAGCUAAUACCGCAUAACGUCGCAAGACCAAAGAGGGGGACCUUCGGGCCUCUUGCCAUCAGAUGUGCCCAGAUGGGAUUAGCUAGUAGGUGGGGUAACGGCUCACCUAGGCGACGAUCCCUAGCUGGUCUGAGAGGAUGACCAGCCACACUGGAACUGAGACACGGUCCAGACUCCUACGGGAGGCAGCAGUGGGGAAUAUUGCACAAUGGGCGCAAGCCUGAUGCAGCCAUGCCGCGUGUAUGAAGAAGGCCUUCGGGUUGUAAAGUACUUUCAGCGGGGAGGAAGGGAGUAAAGUUAAUACCUUUGCUCAUUGACGUUACCCGCAGAAGAAGCACCGGCUAACUCCGUGCCAGCAGCCGCGGUAAUACGGAGGGUGCAAGCGUUAAUCGGAAUUACUGGGCGUAAAGCGCACGCAGGCGGUUUGUUAAGUCAGAUGUGAAAUCCCCGGGCUCAACCUGGGAACUGCAUCUGAUACUGGCAAGCUUGAGUCUCGUAGAGGGGGGUAGAAUUCCAGGUGUAGCGGUGAAAUGCGUAGAGAUCUGGAGGAAUACCGGUGGCGAAGGCGGCCCCCUGGACGAAGACUGACGCUCAGGUGCGAAAGCGUGGGGAGCAAACAGGAUUAGAUACCCUGGUAGUCCACGCCGUAAACGAUGUCGACUUGGAGGUUGUGCCCUUGAGGCGUGGCUUCCGGAGCUAACGCGUUAAGUCGACCGCCUGGGGAGUACGGCCGCAAGGUUAAACUCAAAUGAAUUGACGGGGGCCCGCACAAGCGGUGGAGCAUGUGGUUUAAUUCGAUGCAACGCGAAGAACCUUACCUGGUCUUGACAUCCACGGAAGUUUUCAGAGAUGAGAAUGUGCCUUCGGGAACCGUGAGACAGGUGCUGCAUGGCUGUCGUCAGCUCGUGUUGUGAAAUGUUGGGUUAAGUCCCGCAACGAGCGCAACCCUUAUCCUUUGUUGCCAGCGGUCCGGCCGGGAACUCAAAGGAGACUGCCAGUGAUAAACUGGAGGAAGGUGGGGAUGACGUCAAGUCAUCAUGGCCCUUACGACCAGGGCUACACACGUGCUACAAUGGCGCAUACAAAGAGAAGCGACCUCGCGAGAGCAAGCGGACCUCAUAAAGUGCGUCGUAGUCCGGAUUGGAGUCUGCAACUCGACUCCAUGAAGUCGGAAUCGCUAGUAAUCGUGGAUCAGAAUGCCACGGUGAAUACGUUCCCGGGCCUUGUACACACCGCCCGUCACACCAUGGGAGUGGGUUGCAAAAGAAGUAGGUAGCUUAACCUUCGGGAGGGCGCUUACCACUUUGUGAUUCAUGACUGGGGUGAAGUCGUAACAAGGUAACCGUAGGGGAACCUGCGGUUG
rnacentral:rRNA from 1 species